CUCAGGCCUUGGCACGUCGUGCCCAAGACUUCAUAGGGUGGCCAGGUGAAGCUGAGGGUCAUGCCUUACAACAGGCCUUCUUUGAGAUCGGCAAGCUGGCCGAUGGCGUUUACGAGGGCCUACUGCUUGGAGACAGCGGCUACACCUGCAAGCCAUGGCUGAUGACGCCCUUCCUGUCUCCGUCAUCAGCAGCGGAGGUCGCCUACAAUGCGUCACAUAGCACAACGAGGAGCAUCGUGGAACGGACAAUAGGCCAGCUCAAGCGGAGAUUUCAUUGCCUCCAUGCUGAGUUGAGGAUGCAGCCAGAGAGAUGCUGCGACAUCACUGUUGCCUGCUGUGUCCUGCACAACCUGGCCAAGACAUACCCCUGCAGCAUGCCAAGGACUGUCCUCCCCGAAGAGGUUCCCGUCGAGCCCGUGGCAGCGGGCCGUGAUGAAAGCAACGAGGCUCGGGAUGCCAUCGUCAGCCAGUUCUUCGGUUGAGCGAGAUUAGCUCCCUCGAGCUGCUGCUGCCUUUCUGUCUCCUGCAAGAAGCGCUGUGAAGCCUCCCGGCACCAACGUCGGCUGUAUGGCACAUUUGUUGGAGCCCGCUGCACCGCCUCCAGCGGCCGACUCUCGUGCAGCACUGCCGCACUUGCUCCGCUCCCAGAGAGACCAGGCUGUGGAUCUAUUCCCCUGGAGCUGUCACUGCGACAAAUUCAUGUGUAAAAAGUGGUCAGGUUUUGUUCUUGUCAGCAUGGGCAAAGAGAACACACUGUGCAAAGUUUGUAACCCUGAUAAAGACACCGAUGCUGCGCCAAAAUUCAUUCAUACGGGUUGGUACAGAGGACAAAGUUUAUGAGCCAAGUUGGUUUAUACACUGACGCACAGGCUUGAGGUCGGAGCGCAGUGUUGUUACUUCUUGCACAAUUGCCCAGUACAUGGUGUAGGAAAAUGUGCAUUUGGUUGUGAAGAGCACACAGCUGCAUUCUAAAGGUUAGAAUGCAGCUGUGUAGCUAUGCGAUUAACAGUUCAUAAAUUUAGUGGUCACAUGUCCAGUCAAACCACAAUGCACUGCACAUUUAUAGGACAACUUCAAACAUUACAGCACAUAGCUUCACUGGUAUUGAUUUCACUCACAUAGG
rnacentral:misc_RNA from 1 species